rnacentral:rRNA from 1 species
GCACAGCUCAGUAACACGUGGCUAACCUGCCCUUGGGACGAGGACACCCCCGGGAAACUGGGGCUAAUCCUCGAUAGGUGAAGAAUUCUGGAAUGAAUCUUCGCCUAAAGGGCGCUUACACUAUGCUUGUAGGCGUUGCCCAAGGAUGGGGCCGCGACCGAUCAGGUAGUUGGUGAGGCAACGGCUCACCAAGCCUUUUACCGGUGCGGGCCGUGGGAGCGGGAGCCCGGAGAUGGGCACUGAGACAAGGGCCCAGGCCCUACGGGGCGCCGCAGUCGCGAAAACUUUGCAAUACACGAAAGUGUGACAGGGCUAUCCCGAGUGCCAUCCGCUGAGGAAGGCUUUUACCCAGUUUAGAACGCUGGGGGAAUAAGGAGAGGGCAAGACUGGUGUCAGCCGCCGCGGUAAUACCAGCUCUCCGAGUGGUGUGGAUGUUUAUUGGGCCUAAAGCAUCCGUAGCUGGCUGGACAAGUCCCCUGUUAAAUCCACCGAUUUAAUCGUUGGUGUGCGGGGGAUACUGUUCGGCUAGGGGACGGGAGAGGCCGACGGUAUUUCCGGGGUAGGGGUGAAAUCCUAUAAUCCCGGGAAGACCACCAGUGGCGAAGGCUGUCGGCUAGAACGCGCCCGACGGUGAGGGAUGAAAGCUGGGGGAGCGAACCGGAUUAGAUACCCGGG